GUGUCAGCAGCCGCGGUAAUACGUAGGGUGCGAGCGUUGUCCGGAAUUAUUGGGCGUAAAGGGCUCGUAGGCGGUUUGUCGCGUCGGGAGUGAAAACUCAGGGCUUAACCCUGAGCCUGCUUCCGAUACGGGCAGACUAGAGGUAUGCAGGGGAGAACGGAAUUCCUGGUGUAGCGGUGAAAUGCGCAGAUAUCAGGAGGAACACCGGUGGCGAAGGCGGUUCUCUGGGCAUUACCUGACGCUGAGGAGCGAAAGUGUGGGGAGCGAACAGGAUUAGAUACCCUGGUAGUCC
rnacentral:rRNA from 1 species